UCUCUGGUAAAUAUUUCAUUAGGGGAGAUGCGGAUGCAGCAGGGCUGAUCCUGUCUAAGCCUCCUCUUGUCUCCCCUCGCCCACUGGAUUCCCAAGUGGCUCCUCCAAAGAAGUCCCACCUCUCUCUCCUACCCCACCCUGCCCUCCCUCAGGCUGCUCUCCUGGGUGACGCUGUGCUCCAACAUUCAUGGCCUGACAGCUAUUGCACAUGUUCCUGUGUGGCCUCUGGGUCAUCAGGUAUGUGUUGGGAAGUGGGGAUUUGUCUCUUGCUCAAACCACGAGGACCCUGGGAGGAAGAAUGGCCUACUUUCUUCCUUUCCUAAGGUCACUCACAUGGUACGGGAGGGGGUGAUCCUAAAAGCAUAGGACCAUCUCCAUUAUUUCUCAGCUCUCCCACUCCACUCCCUGCUCUGAGCUUCUAUAUGCUAGUCCUGCCUGGUGGUGGCGGUGGUGGUGGUGGUGGUGGUGUGUGUGUGUGUGUGAGAGAGAGAGAGAGAGAGAGAGAGAAAGAGGGAGAAAAAGCCAUCACAGCAUUCUGACCCAGGCAGAAGAGAAGAGAGGAGAAAGCAAGUCCCGGUAGGAGGAGGUAGGAACCACUAUAACCAAAGCCAGCAGGCAACCAGGCUCAGCCUCUGGAAUGCUGCAGCCUGAAAUGACAGGAAACAGAAAUGGGGGAACUCACAGAGCUCCACGCGCCCUGCUCAGCCCCGGCCAUGCCCAGCCCUAUGCUGCUCAGAGGAAGGCACUCAAAGGACACAAUGCCUCCAGCUCACGGAAAGCCCCACCCCACCUUCUCCCUCUCCCCAUGGACAUAGGCUCAUUCAUGUGGGGUAGGGACUGGAAGGGGUGUGGACUCCACCGUGACAUUUACCGAAGACAUGAACUCAGCGAACAUUGUAAUUUGCUGAUUAAAAAUUUAAUCCCCAUCUUAAGGUCAGAAAACCGGGUACGAAGAAGUUGGCAGAAAUUGGGGCUGGUGGGUGGGGAAGAGUGGAGCAAGUCAGUCUGCGUUAGCUGAGGGGAGGGGUUUGUCAGGCUGGUGGGGUUUGGGGGCAGAGUGUAGGGGGAAAUUGAGGAGGACCCAGGAGCCCGCUGGCAGGGAUAAGGAUGGGGGCAGGACACAUCUUCCUAAGGGAGCUGGGUGGGGUAGAUACUCCCAGUCUAUUCCCAGUUGCAGGAGACAGAAAGAGUCCGGACUUCAGAGUGAGAUGGACCUGGGCUAGCAUCUGGCUGUGUGGCCCUGGGGACGAGAGCCCUGCCCAAUACAGAGUGAUCUAAUACCAGCCACUUGGAUAGAUGCAUUUCGUUUCUUCCAUCCUAGGAUUUCUGGAGAGGCAGCUUGGGAAGGCCAGGUGUGGAUAACAUGUGUAAAGAUUCAUUCUCAUUGUAGAUCUUAGCAACCUCAGCAUACAGAUUUUUUUUUUCUAUCCUUAAGUCAAAAACUUUUACCUUUUCACUUAAAGGAAGAACUUUCCAGCUUAUUCAACAUUAAUAUACAGUAUAUUCAAAUUGCCAUGAUCACUGCUACUGCACUUUAGGGCAAUUAUUAAGUAAAAUAAGGGUUACUUGACACAAGCAUUGUGAUACCUCAACAGUUGAUCGGAUAACCUAGAGGGCUCCUAAGUGACCUGAGAGCCAGUAGUGGAUACACUGGACAAAGGAUGAUUCACAUCCUGGGCAGGAUGGAGUGGGAUGGUGAGAUACUUCAUCGGGCUACUCAGAAUGGUGCACAAUUUAAAACUUGUGAAUUAUUUCUGGACGUUUUCUUUCUCUUUUUUUUUUUUUUGAGAUGGAGUCUCGCCCUGUUGCCCAGACUGGAGUGCAGUGGCACCAUCUUCGCUCACUACAACCUCUGCCUCCUGGGUUCAAGCAAUUCUCCUGCCUCAGCCUUCCGAGUAGCUGGGACUACAGGUGUGUGCCACUAUGCCUGGCUAAUUUUUUUGUAUUUUAGUAGAGACGGGCAUUUCACCAUACUGGCCAGACUGGUCUCGAACUCCUGACCUCGUGAUCCACCUGCCUUGGCCUCCCAAAGUGCUGGGAUUACAGGCAUGAGCCACUGUGCCCGGCCUGGACGUUUUCAUUUAAUAUUUUUCGACUGUGGUUGUAACUGAAACCAUGAUAGUAAUUUUCACUUUCGGAAAGUGAAACUGCAGAUAAGCAGGGGAGACAUAUUUAGUCAUGUAUUACACCAUUUUUUUCUGUUUUAUAUAUUGGGGUUCUGCAUGAAAUUGAAGUUUGAAUUUUCCUUUGCUCUCCCAUUAUCUCGCUUGAUCUCACAAAAGCCCUGCAUAAUCAAGAUAUUAGUAUUAUUCC
rnacentral:lncRNA from 1 species